CCCAGACCUACAUUUUGAUGCAUAGUAUGUCUCUGAAGUAUUAAAAAUGAAGGCACAGUCGCAGUUUAGAAAUUGCACUUCAAAUUUGAGCUUUGCAGAGUGAAGUUUCAAUGAAAGUCAAUGGACGGCAUUAGUUGCAAACAAAUGAUUAUAUUGUGAAAACUAUCAGGACUAUGGCUUAGCCGUUGACAUGUUUAGUGGCAGCAGGGAUAGCUGAACG